rnacentral:lncRNA from 1 species
AAACUCAUAAAUCCAUGGACAAAAAACAAAAUCGGGGUAACAAACUAAAACUGAGGAAAACGUAUUAAACAUAAGAGGAGAACAACGACACAACACUACAAUGUAACACACACAGAAACGGACCAAGCAUCAGAAAAAAUCCCACGAGAAUAACAAAUAUAACAUCAAAACCAAAUACAUGAAUUUGGGAUAGACAAGUACCGUAACACGUCUUAUCACAAUGUGAAUUUACACUCAAAAAUAAGAGAA